rnacentral:rRNA from 1 species
AUUGAACGCUGGCGGUAGGCUUAACACAUGCAAGUCGUGCGAGAAAGUAUCUUCGGAUAUGAGUAGAGCGGCGGACGGGUGAGUAACGCGUAGGAAUCUACCUAGUAGAAGGGGAUAGCCCGGGGAAACUCGGAUUAAUACCGUAUACCUCCUUCGGGAGAAAGAAGGCCUCUCUUUGAAGCUUUCGCUAUUAGAUGAGCCUGCGUAAGAUUAGCUUGUUGGUGAGGUAAAGGCUCACCAAGGCGACGAUCUUUAGCGGGUCUGAGAGGACGAUCCGCCACAUUGGGACUGAGACACGGCCCAGACUCCUACGGGAGGCAGCAGUGGGGAAUAUUGGACAAUGGGCGCAAGCCUGAUCCAGCCAUACCGCGUGUGUGAAGAAGGCCUUCGGGUUGUAAAGCACUUUAAGCAGGGAGAAAAAGAUAUAGGUUAAUACCCUAUAUCCGUGAUGUUACCUGCAGAAUAAGCACCGGCUAAUUCCGUGCCAGCAGCCGCGGUAAUACGGAAGGUGCAAGCGUUAAUCGGAAUUACUGGGCGUAAAGCGCGCGUAGGUGGUUUUUUAAGUUGGAUGUGAAAGCCCUGGGCUCAACCUAGGAACUGCAUCCAAAACUGAAUAACUAGAGUACGAUAGAGGGAGGUAGAAUUCAUAGUGUAGCGGUGGAAUGCGUAGAUAUUAUGAAGAAUACCAGUGGCGAAGGCGGCCUCCUGGAUCUGUACUGACACUGAGGUGCGAAAGCGUGGGUAGCGAACAGGAUUAGAUACCCUGGUAGUCCACGCCGUAAACGAUGAAUGCCAGUCGUCGGGUAGUAUACUAUUCGGUGACACACCUAACGGAUUAAGCAUUCCGCCUGGGGAGUACGGUCGCAAGAUUA